CCAGCCAGACACAGCCGGUUCCAACCAGACACAGCCGGUUCCAGCCGGACACAGCCGGUUCCAGCCGGAUCCAACUGCCCGCCACAGGGUGCAGAGAGGAACCGCUGUGAACUGACCCCCGUGCCCUGUGCCAUCCAUCACCUCCUCUAAAGGCACUGAAUGGACCUGAGGCAAGAACAUGGAGACAGAAAGGACUAGAAGGAAGAAGUGACAGGGGACCAGCUGUGGGAGGAGAGAGGCAGGGAAGCAGCGAGCCUGAAGGCAGCCUGUGAGGCGCUUUUCCCACUAGAUGGCAGAAGAUACUUUGGACCAGAAUAUUUAGCAAUUUGAACAACAUACGGAAUUACUGGACUGGUAUACUAUGUUUUGGCCACAAGUACAGAGAUUUUAUUUACUACAAGUUUAUCUGGUCAUACGUUGUCCAGAUUCUUUCGAGUAUGCAGCCCCACUCUUUCCCUCUACAAAUAAAGCAAGUAAAUUAGCUGGAAAUACUGAAGAACCCAGCUACCUCAGGCUGAAGGUGAUAGAAUGUAUUCUGAAAAGAUAAGGAGGCAUGUUACUACAAACUCUUGAUCCUUCAGUGUGCUGCUAUCAUUGUAUCAAAAACUUCAGUGUGGUCCAUUCAAAGCUUUUUAUAUGGCUUUGAGAAGAUGCUGAAUGUCUUCAGGGAUGAGCUUAGAGUAACAGAAGCCUACAGAAAGGAAGACAUUGCACCACAAAUGGAUCCAGACACCCACGGUAUUCUUGAGCAAGUUAUGGUUACUUUUCAUAGGAGAAAUAAAAGAUUGCAUUGAAUGGGUGCUUGACACUGACCUAUUCAAGUCACUAUUGCUCUGCAUCUGUCUACAGUUUAGGUAGACUAUGCUGAUGAUGAGGGAAAAGCUGUUGCCUUUAACUUGCAAAACUUCAGCUUGACAUCAAUAUUGCAGGUAUGGUCAUGCAGCCACUGGAUAUACCAGUGAUUUCUGAAAAAACCCUGAGUUUCUGCUUCAGUCACAAAUGGGAAAAGAAUGUGGGAAUGUGCUGGAUGGGUUGGACUUAGCAGCCUGGGGUGUGAAAGGAGCAGAAGGGCUCAUUCCCAGGCCAUGAAUAUUUCUUUGCUGGCUGACCCAGGCAGAGCAUGACAAGGGUACUGUUAGUAAUACCCAAGUCUUUUUAGACCCACAUGUGUCCAAAAUGCCUUAAUAACUUGAACAGCUAUAGAGAAUAAAUUAAUUAGCAGCCUCAUUUAAAAAAUAAAAUAGUGAAGAACAAUGCUAAAAAGUUCAAAGGGUAAGCUGAUAUUCCAUUGAAAUAUACCCUAAUUUUUGCAACAGUUGAGGCCAUUUAUGAUCUUCAAAAUAGCUUGUGUUAAUCUCAGUUAACACAAUAUAGCCUUAAAGACACAAUGAUGCUGUGUUUUUGAUUCAGUAGGGUGUUGUUUGGCCACAAAAAAAUUCCAUUACUUUUUCAGUUUCCCUUAUUAAAGUCUCUUUUUGCCCUUUACUAAGGCUGCUGGUACACAAAUUGAGGUACCAUGAGGUAAUAAAAUAAAUUUCUUUCUAGGAAACAAUUGAUUCAAAGUCUUCUUAAAGACUCAGUCUAGAUAAAAAUUACUAAAAUUAAACUGUGCUUACAUAAAAGCUACCCUGAAAAAAAGCCCAAGAUAGCCUGGAUAUCUCUCUUGUUCAGACAAAAUUCAAUGGAAUCUGUGUUUUUGUAUGGAAUGCACACUUGGACCCCAAAUAAUCACAAAAUUAUAACGUGAUUUCAUUUUAUUCCUGAAAUUGCUAGUCAAAGGAAUAGAUUAUAUGUAUGAAUCAUGUGCCUAUGGAAUACGGUGCAUUGUGAAACUAACUUCUCAUUUAUGCUCUAUUCCUAUUGUAUAUAGAGUCUAGAAUGUUUUGGAUUUUUUUUUAAUAACCGUGUAUAGCUCUCUUAAACUGUGUGAGUCUCUUUGGAAUAUAAGCCUGUUUAUUUUAUUGUGCUCUGUUUAGUUAUUCUAAAAAAGAGUUACAGACACAUAAUUGUAGCCAUCUGUUGUGUUUUAAGUCCAAUCUAGCCCAAAAGUCAAAAAAGUCAUGGCAACAACUUAUAAAAACAAAGGCAAUAAUAUGAACUCACUAUGGUUACUGGUGAACCUUUAUUUCUCCUUUCAAAUGAAGUAAGUUUCCUGAGAGAAUUAUUUUAAUGUUUGAUUUAUUUCUUUAUUAAAUAUGCCCACAGUAUGACUGGUUUCCCUAUCAAGAUUGUCAUAUAGCUGUCUCCUUUAUUGUAAAUCUGUCUUUCUCCAAAAACAUGAGUUCUCUUAUGAUAAAAAAUUAAGCUCUGAGUGAAACCCCAGUGCUUGUCAUAUAUUACUUGAGCAUAAACCAGCAAGCAGGAUUAAGAUUGAUUAAGAAAAUUUAUUAGUAGCAAUGAAUAAUA